AGAUACGCCUAUUUUAUAACAUAAUUCUUCCUGGAAUGUAAAAAAAAAAUACUUGCAUCAUGAACGUACUGAUGAUACUGACAGGAAGUGAGGUCGUACCUGGUGUCCAGCGUGUGUGCGAGGAUGUGCAGACAGCUGACUAUAGUGGUGGAGUCACUUCCUGCAAACACAAACCAUAAAGCACUGAGAAGCAGCGACUCGAUGAGCACGAGAGACCGUCAGACAGACGCGGGGAUCUUACCAAACAGAGAGAUCCUGUGUCUAACCAGAGUGGCCAGCUUACAGAACAGACUAGAGACCAGCAGAACGCAGCAGGAAGUGAGGAGACAGCGAGAGGAAGGAAGAAACGCAAGCUUAGACAGAUCACCUGCAGUUCUCUGGACAGAAGGACGCUGCUCAUGUCCAGCGGGUUUGGAUUGAAGCCGUUCCCCUGAAAGCACACGAUAACACACGCUUCGUCACGUCUGUGAAUGAGUUCUGCGUUAUCGGACUGACCUCACUGUCUAAGAUCCUAGCAUCUUAUUCGAGGCUGGACUCUUAAAGGGAUAGUUCACCCGAAAAAAUUUAAUUAGCACAUCAUUUACUAACCCAUAGCCAUCCUCGCUGAGUUACAUGAAAAAAAAAAAAACGUCCUGGCUCUUCCAAGCUUCAUAAUGGCAGUGAAUGGGUGUCAUUUUUCAAUAGUCCAAAAGAAGUCCAAUAAAGCGCAUCCAUCCAUCAUAAAAAGCGCCUCACACGGCUUGGGUUACAACAGUUAGUGGAAUCUAGAGAUUACGGUUUAUAAAGUUUUAAAUAUGGAUAUUUUUCUUACACAAACACAUCAAUUCGCUUCAGGAGGCCGUGUGGGACACUUUUUAUGAUGGAUGGAUGCACUUUAUUGGACUUCUUUUGGACUAUUGAAAAUUUUAAGGGGGGUGAGUAAAUCAUGAACUACUUUAAAUUUUUGGGUGAAUUAUCCCUUUAAUGAUGAAAUCACUGCAUUUACAAAGUUAGCAAACAUUAUAAGUCAUUACAUGGAGCUGACGAUCCAGUAUAAAGUCUGUGAGAACCUGAGAGGCCUGUGAGACGCGGCGCAUCUUCUCCAUCUCUCUCUGCUGAAACACGCUCUCUUCUUCUCUGGUGCGGUCGAUGCUCCAGCCCAGCGCUAGCAUGCUCUUCAAGGACUCGCGCACCGUCCAGCAAUACAUCUCCUUCUCCUGCCGACAGAAAGCGUGCUGGCAGUCGUUGUGAUGGGGUUAUGAUGGAGAUUUUAAGGGUAAAUGCGUGUCUGUGUUGUACCUUCUCCGUCAGGGACUUGUAGGAUCUCAGCAUCGGGUGAGUUUUUGCUUUCUCGUCGAUGUUUUCUCCGUGUUUCCAGCCCAGAAGCACCUGAACACAGAUCGGAGCAACCAAACAACCAAAACAUGAGCGUGAUCAG
rnacentral:lncRNA from 12 species